rnacentral:rRNA from 1 species
UACGAAGGGGGCUAGCGUUGCUCGGAAUCACUGGGCGUAAAGCGCACGUAGGCGGAUUGCUAAGUCAGGGGUGAAAUCCUGGAGCUCAACUCCAGAACUGCCUUCGAUACUGGAGAGCUUGAGUUCGGGAGAGGUGAGUGGAACUGCGAGUGUAGAGGUGAAAAUUCGUAGAUAUUGGGAAGAACACCGGUGGCGAAGGCGGCUCACUGGCUCAUUACUGAACGCUCAGGCGC